CAGCCGGCUUUUUCUAGGGCCACUCCAGGAGGCUGGCUGCUGGCUGCCCGGCGCGCUUCCCUGGGUGCGCGCAGCUCCAGCCCCUCGCUCGGCUCCGCUCCGUCCGCUCCAACCGCUCCGCCUGCUCUGCUUCCGCCACGCUGCUCUGCGAGUUUCGGCCACUGCCAGAGCGAGAGCGCGCCCUCCUUGCCCGCGACCCCGGCUGCCGGCUCCUCGUCCUGGUUGCGCGGUGCCCGCCACCUCGCGCCCUGCAACUUCGCUGUCUCGCAAGUCCCAGCCCUCCUGCCUGCCCAGGUCCCUCUCCCUCGCUGGCUGUCGGUUGGUCUGUCUGUCUCUCCCUCUCUGCCUCCCCACCGUUCUUUUCCUCCCCCCACCCCGCCCCGGCUUGCUGGCCCGUUCGCUAGCUCUCUGACGGCAGCGAAGCAGCUUCGCAGGAAAAUCCCAGAAACCUUUGCAAAAAGCUUACAAUGAAAUUUAAGAAGUUCUUCGAUUUCGGCGCCAUUUUCAAGUGGAGCCAGAGGUGACAUGGGAUUUUUAAAAAAGGGACUUGCUGGUUUGUGUUUUUCCCGAUUGUAACGUUGCUUAUGGCAAACUGAAAACAAAAUCUAGUGAUAAUUCUGGGGGAAAAAAAGCAGUUCUGUGUCGCUUUGGGGGUUGGAAGGCAAGUUUGGGUACCAGGGUCGGGGCGAAACCGAGCUUUAAAGUGUUUAGCAAAUGAGUACGACGGGGAAAAUUCUUAGGAAACGGGCUGAAAAAAAAAAAAAAAAAAACUAACAUGGAAGGGCGGGGAGAGAAAACUGAGUAAGGGGUAGCGACCGACUGCCAGCCCCGCCGGGGUCGGAAGUGACUGAUUUUGACCGAAUCUGAGUGGACUUUUUGUGACUCUUAUUUGCCAGUAGUAAAAUAUGUCUUGGAAAGCAAUGUAUGAUUGAUUUUGCUUUGUCUCUUCCAAAUUAAAAUGUCCAAGGUUGUUUAGUUUUCGCUGUGCGAAACUUGACAUUGAGAAAGUUUGGAUUGAAUGCGUCUGGGGAAGGCACAGCGUGUGUUUGGGGUGUGGGGUACGGGGGAGGGGGAACACCUACAAAAUUAAAAGACAAAACGUUGUAAAAUCUGAGUAGAGGAAGAGGCGGAUUCUUUGGCUCUUAAAUCAUUUGGCCAAACACAGCACAGUUAAGCAGGGGGUGGGGCUAUGGCAACUCCAAGGUAUUGAUUCUUUGUCUAUUGUAUCAGCGAAUGACUCUCUCCUGAAAUGACAAGAAGCCUCUUUGUGCUUGCUUUUCGGCAACCAACGACGUUUCCCUCCAUUAAUCUCAAAGCUCAAUGCAAAAGUUGUUUGUAAAUAUCAUAGCCAAAAACAAGAUGGAAUUUAGAGACAUUUAAUGCCCCCAAUUUAGGGAGUGGGGUUCUUACUAAUGAGGUUGUUUAUCCUGACAGGAAAGUAUAUUGGUGUUAUGAAUUUUGUACUUAGCUUCAUUUAAAUACUGUGCACAUUUUGUUAAUAAAUAGAUCACCUAACACUCAUUGUACCACUUUUACAAAAGGGAUAAAAGUUUUAAAGAAACAAAACACUUA